GCGGGUAUGGUGUAACUGGCAGCCACGUCAGAUUUAGGAUCUGAUGCCGAAAGGCGUGAGGGAUCGUGCCCCUCUACCCGUA
rnacentral:tRNA from 1 species